rnacentral:rRNA from 1 species
GCAGCAGUGGGGAAUUUUGGACAAUGGGCGCAAGCCUGAUCCAGCAAUGCCGCGUGCAGGAAGAAGGCCUUCGGGUUGUAAACUGCUUUUGUACGGAGCGAAAAGGCUCUCUCUAAUACAGGGGGCUCAUGACGGUACCGUAAGAAUAAGCACCGGCUAACUACGUGCCAGCAGCCGCGGUAAUACGUAGGGUGCAAGCGUUAAUCGGAAUUACUGGGCGUAAAGCGUGCGCAGGCGGUUUUGUAAGACAGGCGUGAAAUCCCCGGGCUCAACCUGGGAAUGGCGCUUGUGACUGCAAAGCUGGAGUGCGGCAGAGGGGGAUGGAAUUCCGCGUGUAGCAGUGAAAUGCGUAGAUAUGCGGAGGAACACCGAUGGCGAAGGCAAUCCCCUGGGCCUGCACUGACGCUCAUGCACGAAAGCGUGGGGAGCAAACAGGAUUAGAUACCCUGGUAGUCCACGCCCUAAACGAUGUCAACUGGUUGUUGGGUCUUUGCUGACUCAGUAACGAAGCUAACGCGUGAAGUUGACCGCCUGGGGAGUACGGCCGCAAGGUUGAAACUCAAAG